AGAGUUUGAUCCUGGCUCAGGAUGAACGCUAGCGACAGGCUUAACACAUGCAAGUCGAGGGGCAGCGGGGUGUGGCAACACAUUGCCGGCGACCGGCGCACGGGUGAGUAACGCGUAUGCAACUUGCCUAUCAGAGGGGGAUAACCCGGCGAAAGUCGGACUAAUACCGCAUAAAACAGGGGUCCCGCAUGGGGAUAUUUGUUAAAGAUUCAUCGCUGAUAGAUAGGCAUGCGUUCCAUUAGGCAGUUGGCGGGGUAACGGCCCACCAAACCGACGAUGGAUAGGGGUUCUGAGAGGAAGGUCCCCCACAUUGGUACUGAGACACGGACCAAACUCCUACGGGAGGCAGCAGUGAGGAAUAUUGGUCAAUGGACGCAAGUCUGAACCAGCCAUGCCGCGUGCAGGAAGACGGCUCUAUGAGUUGUAAACUGCUUUUGUACGAGGGUAAACUCACCUACGUGUAGGUGACUGAAAGUAUCGUACGAAUAAGGAUCGGCUAACUCCGUGCCAGCAGCCGCGGUAAUACGGAGGAUUCAAGCGUUAUCCGGAUUUAUUGGGUUUAAAGGGUGCGUAGGCGGUUUGAUAAGUUAGAGGUGAAAUCCCGGGGCUUAACUCCGGAACUGCCUCUAAUACUGUUAGACUAGAGAGUAGUUGCGGUAGGCGGAAUGUAUGGUGUAGCGGUGAAAUGCUUAGAGAUCAUACAGAACACCGAUUGCGAAGGCAGCUUACCAAACUAUAUCUGACGUUGAGGCACGAAAGCGUGGGGAGCAAACAGGAUUAGAUACCCUGGUAGUCCACGCAGUAAACGAUGAUAACUCGUUGUCGGCGAUACACAGUCGGUGACUAAGCGAAAGCGAUAAGUUAUCCACCUGGGGAGUACGUUCGCAAGAAUGAAAC
rnacentral:rRNA from 1 species